CUUCCAGCAUGUCUACAGAUGGCAGCUUCGGCACAGGCAGCAGCAGCGAUGCCCAGCAGAGCCUGCAGUCCUUCUGGCCCCGCGUCAUGGAGGAGAUCCGCAACCUCACAGUGAAAGACUUCAGGGUUCAGGAGCUGCCCCUGGCUCGGAUUAAGAAGAUAAUGAAACUGGAUGAAGAUGUGAAGAUGAUUAGUGCUGAGGCCCCUGUGUUAUUCGCCAAGGCAGCUCAGAUAUUCAUAACAGAACUGACGUUGCGAGCCUGGAUCCACACAGAAGACAACAAGCGCAGGACUCUGCAGAGGAACGACAUUGCCAUGGCAAUUACAAAGUUUGAUCAAUUUGACUUUCUGAUUGACAUCGUCCCAAGAGAUGAGCUGAAGCCUCCAAAGCGUCAGGAAGAGGUACGUCAGGCUGUGACCCCGGCUGAACCCGUGCAGUAUUAUUUCACCCUUGCUCAGCAGCCUGCUGCAGUGCAGGUCCAGGGGCAGCAGCAAGGACAGCAGACCACGACAUCUACAACCACCAUCCAGCCGGGGCAGAUCAUCAUCGCACAGCCUCAGCAGGGGCAGGUGGGAGAAGGCCAGCAGGUGCAGAUUGUGCAGGCCCAGCCGCAAGGACAGAGCCAGCAGGCGCAGAGCGGGACGGGGCAGACCAUGCAGGUGAUGCAGCAGAUCAUCACCAACACGGGGGAGAUCCAGCAGAUCCCGGUAAGCCGUCGUGGGGCUGGGAGUGAGGUGUCUGCAGCUGCUUCAGCGUGGGGCUGCGUGUGUUUGUGUGCCUUCAGAGCUGUGCAAGGAGGUUAGGGCUGCGCGCGUUUCCUGCGCCGGGAGAGAAAACGAGCCGGGUGUGACAUGAAGGGGGAAAUAAACUGAGGCCGUGCAGUGCCAGCACCACUGCUACCCACGGGUGGAAUAGAGUUAUUAGGAGGCAGGACAGAAAGCACUUCCUGCAUAAAUUAGUUCUCCACGACAGCGUGCUUGCAGUAAAACCUAAUUAACCUGUGUUGCCUUUACUCGGUUCUGCCUCUGCAACCCGGAGCCACGGCCUGUCGGACCGAGUGGGAAAAGUGCUGCCUGUGAGUCAUUAACCAACUCCUACGUUGCAAAAAAGCAUUUCUACAACGUAGUUUGAGCUGAUGGCAGGGAUGGCUUUGUGCUACCAGGAGAUUUCUUCUCACUUUCACGUUAACGUAAGGCUGCUGUGCCCUAAGAAUGGGAUUUUGAGUACACAGCGAGCCGAGAAUUCUGGCACGUGUCCUGGGUAAACGCGUGGCUCCCAAAAUGUCAUUUUCCCCCUCUUUGUAGCUUGGAAUGACAACAAAGCUGAGCCUUUUGGUUCCCACCUGAAAAAUUUCACACGCCUUAAAAUAAAAAUGGAUAAAAUCCUUCCAGUUCCACGCACUCAACCAGCAGCACUGGGGUCAGACAGGUGACCACGAUGAGCGCUUCGCUUUGUCUGUGAUUCCUCUUGCUGUUAGGAGGCUGAGCAGCUGCGCAGAGCUGAUCUCACACAGGCUGAGGUUUGCUCAGCAUCCCUUUGGCAGAUGUUUGUGCUUUGACAGAGCAUCUCGAGGAAAGCGAAGGCUCUGCGUGCUGCCACAUUCUCCCAGUUCACUUCCCUCUUCUCAUCUCUGCAAUCCUCAGCUGAUUCCUACACCAGGUGUUGAUCAGGAGGGACAAGACUGCUUGCCAAACGUGCUGCUUUACCACCAGCAGCCUUUUUCCUUCUCCACGUUCUUCACCGCCUUUCUCUUGCAUUUUUGUCCUCCUUUUCUUAAUGGGAGUCUCUCUUGGAUGCUUCUUAAAAGCAUUUUGGAUAGAGAUCUCUACCCCUGCCUGGGUGAAUCUGGCAUAACAGAGCAGCAAUAAAAGAAGUUCAGGCUUGUUUUGCAGUCAUCCCCAGUGCAAGCUGUAAGUCCCUGUAGGAAAGCGACCUGGAGAUUUGCAGGGGAAAGAAUUCUUUAUAAAGCAGCUUUGGAAGGGGCUGAAGCAUUCUGCAGGAAAUGCCAUUCUCCACCCAGGUGAUGCUGUUUUAAUUGAUGGCGUGCUUUAUGAACGAGCCACUGGAGGCUUUUUAAUUAGCACCUGCUUUUGGCCAGGAGAAUUCUUCCACCUCAUCUUGCCUGGCAGCACUGGGGCUCGUGGCCAUCCCCAGGCACUGCUGGGGUUGCAGUUGGGAUGGAGCUGCCUGAGUGGGCAUCUGUUGUGCUGGGGAUGCUUGGGCUCCUCGUGAGCGUAAGGCGAUAAAGCAGAGUACCUCAGGAGGGGUGUUACAGUGAAAUACAGUUCUCACUCCAGUACCUAGGAGAAGUGCUGCCUUGACAGUAAUUAAUGUGAUUCCUCUUAAUUGCAGCAUGUUGAAGAACCACAGCCUGUGCUGGAGGAAACACCUUUCCCUUUGCUUCCAGCAAAUGAAAUGCAGCAGAGCAGGAGCCACACGGCCAGCAUGAGAGCAGAGUGCCUGGGAGCACGCUGUGUGGAUCCACAGUUACAGUCCUUGCUCUGCUCACUGCUGCUCUCUGUUCUGCUCUCUUUCUGCUCCUCUUUUAUCCUUUCUCCCCUAAAUCUCCUUCCUGUCUUGGUGCAGUCAGUGUUACCUUCUGGCAGCUCUUUUCACUCCGCUCUCUGGUAGCGUUCAGCUCCAAAUCUUCCUUAACACAAACGCAAAAGGCUGAAACACAGAGCUGGUAGCAUCUGCCAGCAUAGGAGUGGUGGGAGAACGGCCUCAAACAAACGGAGUAGAGCUGGAAGGAAGGCAGGAAAUGCAUCCAUUACAGAGCAGCCGUUUGUUUGCCCACGUGAAUUCUGUGUUCAAUUUCAUCCAUGCCUUCGCCUUGACCUCGCGGGGCGAAUCUUUGGAGGUUGCCCUCAUUUCUGGAGGAACUGUGUGUGAAUUGCUUCCAUCGCUGCUGGGAGCGUGGUUGAGAUGGAAGCAGGACGCUGCAGUGUGGAGAACUUGCUCAGCAGGCAGAGCUCAGUGCAGAAAUGGAGUCUUUGCUGAGAUGUGUGCUUGCGUGGGGUCCAUUUGCUCAUGAAGUAACGUUGGUGGGUUCAGCAGUGGGAGGCAGCAGGGCUGUGUGCCAGCAGCUCCUGGUCCCUGAGCGGUGCUCAGGUGCUCUGCACGCCUUCCUUGCCCCUCCUUAAAAACAAAAAGCACCUCAAAGUGUUUUGGAUGUAAGGCACCGUAAGGCUGUGAACCAAAACGUUCUGAAGUUCAGCAGCGCAGCACCAGGAGCUCGAUGGCAGUCAGCCACGUGGGGACCUUUCCAUCGCCUCUCGGCGUGUCCCACCAGCUGCCUCUGUCACAGACUGAGAGCUGAGGGCACUAAGAUGGCUCUGCUCAGACCCCUCUCCCCAGGCAUCCAAGAUCCAGGCUGUAGGAAAUAAAUGAACUUGCAUUGGAAUGUGACACAGCGCCGACACGAAGCGUUGGCUUUGCCAGCACGCAGUAGGAGUGUCAUGACGUGCAGCUAGCUCGGAGGAGCCUCUGUGUGUGAGAUGAAAGGCAGAGCAGUCGCUGCAUUCUGGUGACUGAGAGGGAAAACAAGUGUUACAGUGCUCCAAAACGUAGCACUCAAUAAGCUCUAGCUACUAACUGGCCUUUUGUCCUGGAGAAGGAAGCGUUGUGCUUCUUCAGGUUCUCCUUGCAGAGCCUGGAGGAGUUCUGGGGACUUGGCUCUUGCCCUGUGCUAAUUCCUCUCCCCCACCGCUGCCUGGCUGGAGCUCCCCAGUCUCAUCUGUUACCCGGCUUCUGUUGUGGAAACGAGAAGGCAAGUUGGUGUGUUUCAGGUUACACAGUUACCUGUUUAAUUUUCUUUCCCUGCCCCCUCCGCUUGUCUCCAGGUUCAGUUGAAUGCUGGCCAGCUGCAGUAUAUCCGCUUAGCCCAGCCUGUGUCAGGCACCCAGGUAGUCCAGGGGCAGAUCCAGACGCUUG